rnacentral:lncRNA from 1 species
UUCGAUUUUAUUACGUCUAACUCAAAUCCCCCCCAUCCCCUUCCUCCCUCUCUCUCACUCACUCACACACACACACACACACACACACACACACACACACACACGCACACUUCGAGACAUUAUUUGAAAUACAUCUGUAAGCUCAUUUGCGGGCCAGCCGAGGACACACCUGGUUACCUGGUUCGGGGAGAAGACUGACAUUGCAUUGUCAGUGUUGAGAGAAUGAUUUAGAUGAGAUAGUUAAUCUCCGGGAAAGGGAGAAACUUUUCAGUAGUCGACCAUUAAACUUCAUUAUAUAUGGAGUUCUUUGCAACCAUGUAAUUGAAGAUCUUUGUACAAUCCACUGAAGGAAAUUGAGAUUUUUUACAGAGCAAAAAUUUGACAUAAAGGAAACCUAUGAGAAUAUCCCAGGCCAGUCAAAGAUCACAUUCCUCUUACAAGCCAUCAGGAAAAGGAAUGACCACCACUGCUGAUGAGGCUAGACAAAUGGCUGCUGUUCUGCUAAGACACCUUUUGUCCUCUGCAUUUGAUGACGUUUACCCAGCUCUUCCAUCGGAUGUUCAGACUGCCAUCAAGAGUGAGCUACUAAUGAUUAUUCAGAUGGAAACACAAUCUAGCAUGAGGAAAAAAAUUUGUGAUAUUGCUGCAGAACUGGCCAGGAAUCUAAUAGGGAUUGAACUUGGGAUCUUGCACUUGCGAGGCAGGCAGCAGAACCACUGA